rnacentral:rRNA from 1 species
AUACGAGGGGUGCGAGCGUUAUUCGGAAUCACUGGGCGUAAAGGGUGCGUAGACGGUGUGAUAAGUCCGCUGUUAAAUAUUCCGGCCUAACCGGAAAGCUGCGGUGGAAACUAUUAUGCUAGAGGAUGGAAGAGAGAAGUGGAAUUCUCGGAGUAGCGGUAAAAUGCGUGGAUCUCGAGAGGAACACCAAUGGCGAAGGCAGCUUCUUGGUCCACUCCUGACGUUGAGGCACGAAAGCGUGGGUAGCAAACAGGAUUAGAUACCCUGGUAGUCCACGCCGUAAACGAUGACCACUAGACGUUAGCUCUGUUUAACAGGGUUAGUGUCGUAGCUAACGCGUUAAGUGGUUCGCCUGGGGACUACGGCCGCAAGGCUAAA